rfam:Echinostoma caproni strain Egypt genome assembly, scaffold: ECPE_contig0017231
GCACUGACGAUGAGUCCUAAAUAGGACAAAACAGCUGUCCAGUGC